rnacentral:rRNA from 1 species
AUUGAACGCUGGCGGCAGGCCUAACACAUGCAAGUCGAGCGGAUGAAGGGAGCUUGCUCCUGGAUUCAGCGGCGGACGGGUGAGUAAUGCCUAGGAAUCUGCCUGGUAGUGGGGGAUAACGUCCGGAAACGGGCGCUAAUACCGCAUACGUCCUGAGGGAGAAAGUGGGGGAUCUUCGGACCUCACGCUAUCAGAUGAGCCUAGGUCGGAUUAGCUAGUUGGUGGGGUAAAGGCCUACCAAGGCGACGAUCCGUAACUGGUCUGAGAGGAUGAUCAGGCACACUGGAACUGAGACACGGUCCAGACUCCUACGGGAGGCAGCAGUGGGGAAUAUUGGACAAUGGGCGAAAGCCUGAUCCAGCCAUGCCGCGUGUGUGAAGAAGGUCUUCGGAUUGUAAAGCACUUUAAGUUGGGAGGAAGGGCAGUAAGUUAAUACCUUGCUGUUUGGACGUGACCAACAGAAUAAGCACCGGCUAACUUCGU